rnacentral:tRNA from 1 species
GGCUCUGUGGCGCAAUGGAUAGCGCAUUGGACUUCUAGAUAUAUAAAGGUAUUCAAAGGUUGUGGGUUCGAGUCCCACCAGAGUCG